rnacentral:rRNA from 1 species
UGAACGCUGGCGGCAGGCCUAACACAUGCAAGUCGAACGGUAACAGGAAGCAGCUUGCUGCUUCGCUGACGAGUGGCGGACGGGUGAGUAAUGUCUGGGAAACUGCCUGAUGGAGGGGGAUAACUGCUGGAAACGGUAGCUAAUACCGCAUAACGUCGAAAGACCAAAGAGGGGGACCUUCGGGCCUCUUGCCAUCGGAUGUGCCCAGAUGGGAUUAGCUUGUUGGUGGGGUAAUGGCUCACCAAGGCGACGAUCCCUAGCUGGUCUGAGAGGAUGACCAGCCACACUGGAACUGAGACACGGUCCAGACUCCUACGGGAGGCAGCAGUGGGGAAUAUUGCACAAUGGGCGCAAGCCUGAUG